rnacentral:rRNA from 1 species
CCUACGGGGUGCAGCAGUGAGGAAUAUUGGUCAAUGGGCGCAGGCCUGCACCAGCCUAGUCGCGUGAGGGAAGACUUCCCUAUGGGUUGUAAACCUCUUUUAUAAGGGAAGAAUAAUGACUACGUGUAGUCAGAUGCCCGUACCAUAUGAAUAAGGAUCGGCUAACUCCGUGCCAGCAGCCGCGGUCAUACGGAGGCUCCGAGCGUUAUCCGGAUUUAUUGGGUUUAAAGGGAGCGUAGGUGGAUUGUUAAGUCAGGUGUGGAAGUUUGCGGCUCAACCGUAAAAUUGUAGUUGAAACUGGCAGUCUUGAGUACAGUAGAGGUGGGCGGAAUUCGUGGUGUAGCGGUGAAAUGCGUAGAUAUCACGAAGAACUCCGAUUGCGAAGGCAGCUCACUGGACUGCAACUGACACUGAGGCUCGAAAGUGUGGGUAUCAAACAGGAUUAGAUACCCUAGUAGUC